UUAAUAAAAAAUAUAUAAUUUUUUUUACAUAAAAAUGUUAUAAAACUAUAAAUUUAAUAAAAAAUAUAUUUCAAUAAUAUUUUAAUCAAAAAUUAAUUCCAAAUUUCUUUAAUUUAAGCUUUUAUAUAUUUUAUAUGGCCUUCAAAUUGAAAAAUAAUAUAUUUCAUAUUUUUACUGUUUAUAUUUGUAACUAAAUUAACAACCUAUAUAAAUAAUAAAUAAUAUUCUCUGUUUUAUAAAAAGUAAGUUUGACAUUUUUUCUUGUUAUUUAAGGAGUAUCAUUUAAGAUUCCAAUUCAGUUAUAGCUAUUUUAACUUUAAUAUUAUUUACAAAAUACUUUGAUUUUAUAAAUAAUUUAUCCAUCUUAAAAUCUUUUGAUUAAAUAGAUAUAUUUAUUAAGAGCAUGAAUGCAUUCACAACAUUUUUAAUCUUUGUGAAAAAUAUCAAAAUUACAUUCUUCUUGAAACAGAAGAUACAUAUUAUUUUAUAUAAAUUUGAAGAUUUGAUAUUAUAUUUUUAUUUAUAUAAAUGUGUGUGUGGACUACUAGCACUACUAAAACUACUUUGUACUACUUUGUAUUACCUUGGACUACUAUGUAUUAUACGUAUUUCUAAUAACUUUAUAUUUUUGGGUUAUUAUAUAUUUUCAGCUGAUAUAACUUAUAUAUUUUGAAUUAUAUGUCCUCAUAUGUGUUAAGGUAUCAAAUUAGUCAUGAAAACUUUAAUAUUUCUUAAGUCGUUAGAAAAAUUAUCACUUCCACCAAAAACUUCCUUAUACUUCCAUAUCUAAUGUCUUGAUAGUGAUGUUAUAAUAAGGUAAAUCACACAAAUUACAUAUUUUCCAAAUUUUGUUUCUACAAAAAUGUUAUAUACAAUCUAAAACUAUCUAAAUGCAUUGGUUCUACUAGCAAUAUUUUACUUUUCACGUGGUAUUACUUAUAAAUGUUGAAAUUGACAAAAGUAUUACUAUGAACAAGAUAAUAUUACUACUACCUUGAGUACUACUGAGUGUAAAUAUAAUACUAGUGCUUUUUAAAUAUAUGGCAUAAACACAUUUUAAAUGAGUACGUUUUUAAUUAUAUUUUAAUAACAUGUGUUAAAUAUGUUAUACACGUUUUAGACAUGUUUGAAUUUUUUUUAUUUAGCUUAGUAAUACCUAGCAAAACCAGUAGUUCAAAAAAUUUCUUGCACUUAGUGUUUUAUUUUUAUUCUUACUUCACUAAGUUGUAAAUAUAAUAUUAUUUGAUGGUAUGCAUGUUUUAAAUGUAUGAUUUAAUAAUUUUGUAAAUAUAUGUUAUAUACAAAUUUUUGAAGAAAUAGAUUCCCGAGCUACGACCAACAAAAACAAUUUUUGCUUUGUUACAAAAUUUUCUAGUCAUUACACGUACGUUUGAGUUGGGUCUAUAAUUUUUAGAAAGAGAUCCCUGAUCUGAUUUGAUACGACUAGGGCUGGGUAAAAUAUCCAGAACCGAAGAACCUACCCGAAACCGAUAAAAUAUGAUAGUUUGGUAGAAAUAUUCAAACAAAACCGUAUUUAAUGAGAAAUUUUGAUUAUUUUUAUUACAUUUGGGUACUUUGAAUACAAAAUACCUGAACCAAAUCGGGUAAUAUAGUUACUUUAGGUACUAUUAUCUGAACUUAUUUAAGAUAUAUUCGUUAUUUGGUUAUUUUCAAGUUUCUUUACAUCAAAAUUGAACCCACUAGGACCGAACCCGAAUCGAACCCGAUCUAAAAUUUUAUAAUGCCGAACAUCGCUAAUUUCUAAACCGGAUAACCCGGUACCCGAAAGAACCGACCCGUAUCAUACGACCAACGAAAACAAUUUUAUUUUACCGGGAAUAACAUAAGAUUUUAUUUUAUAAUACAAAAUUAUAUACAAAAUGAACUUAUGAAAAAAAUAUACACAAUGAUAACUCCUAGUUUGGUGUUAUAUUGCUUGAUUGUUAACUAGACAGUCCCUGGAUCAAUACUCAGCUUCGUUAAGUUUUAAAAAGACAUUUAUAUUCAAAAUUUAGUUGAUGUGAUGAUACGUAAAAGUAACUUACGGUCUGGUGGUAUGCUCCUGGUUUCUUAACUUUACGGCUCCGGAUUUGUUAUCUUUUUUAUUUAUUUUUUUAAUGAGUGGAAUGGCAGUUUCGUAAUUAUUUCAUCUUCCUAUUAGGGUUUUCCUGAUUCAGCAAAUUAUUUUUCACGGCCGCCAUGGAAUUUCUUCAAAGAAUCUCCAUAUUUUUGGGUUAUAGUUGUUGUUUACACAUCAAAAAUAUAAAUUUAUCCAUAUUCAUCAAUUUGAACUUAAAAUUGGUGGAAACAAACAUAACUUUUUCUUUAUCCUCACCAUUGAUAUGGUUUAGAAUCGCGAAACAGAAUAUUAAAUGACAUUGAGCUCACCAGGCUUAUUCAAAACGCAGGCUACCAUUGAUAUUCAUCAACAGGGGAAAACACGUGUGUGUGGGGGAGGGGGAGAAGGAAACCUUUGAACUAGAGGGUUUAAUUUAGGUUGAGUUGUAGUUUAGAUAAUUCAUUAAGGCUAUUUUAGUACUUAGCCAUAUUUCUGUAAUUAAAAGAAAAUAAAUAAUAAAUAAUUUAUUAAGAGGGACAAAAUAGCAUAAACAUAGGAGUUACUAGGGCAAAUUAGAAUAAAGUCCAUUUUUUUCCUCUUUAACUCAAAACCCCCAAUCCCUCCAAAUCUUAAACCUAAUCCCGCCUUAAACUAUCACAAUCUUCGUAAUCUCUCACCUCUCUCAUUCUCUCCUUCCUUCGAACCCUAAUCUCGUUGUCUCCUUUCAAACCAUACUGUAUUGUGUCAGAGUUAUAAACUCGAAGCCUUCAUUGCUAACUUCUCCUCACCUUUCGUCUCCUUAACUCUCGUCUCCUUCUCGUUUCACAGACAAUCUGUGACAUGCAAAUGAACGGAGAAGAACACUCUACUCCCCAUCACUUGUUCACCAAAACCACAAGCACUGCAUCCUUGUGUCUUUUCAUUGUACAACGCAUCGUUUGUCAAUUUGUUGUUUUUCUUAGAUUCAUAUCUUCCUUGUGUCUAACAAACAAAUCCUUUUUAGUGUAUCUGGUUUGACGACACAUAAGUUUCGUAACUUGUUUUUUGAAUUGUACUUCAUGACACCUUGUUUAUCCUUGGAUGUGGUUUUAGUGUAUCUGGUUUUCUUAUUUUGGAGGUGUGUUGGAUUUUUGUGGAUUUAUUACAACAACUUCUCCAUUGGGUUUUAGGAUGUUCUAGAAUACUGUAGAUUGUGUUACAACAACUGGAGGUGGGUGGAGUGCCUUGUGGACACUAUCAUAUGGAUUUGAUUAAAAUUUCUGUUGAAAGAUCCAUGGACAAUUAAAUAUUAUCCAUGAGAUCUCAUCUACGAAAUUUUUUCCAUGAUAUCCAAUUAAUUUUUUCACAGUUUUUAAUUAUUCAUAUUAUACAAUCUACUUUCACAUCAAUGUUUCCAACGUCCAUAAAUAUCAAAAUAUAUAUAUAUAUAUUACUGAUUUUAACAAAACAAAACAUUAUGAAUAUGAAAACUUAGGUAUCCACAAAAUACCUAUCCACAGAUAACAAAAUAAUAUCCACAAAAUAUUUCAUAUAAUAUAUGAAUUCAAAUUAUAUAUUUAAAAAUAUUAAAAUACAUAUAUAUAUAUAUGUGUGUGUGGGUAUCAAAAUAUUAAGAAAAAUGUAAUUUUUCAUAUAUUAUAUAUUUAUUUAUUUAUACAUCUGAAUAUAAAAUAAUGACAACCAAAUUAUGUUAGGGAAAUAAAAAGUUCAUCAUAAUAUAAAAUCAUUAUUUUUUUGGAAAUAGAAAUAGACUAUAACGAUAGUAGUUCUGGAUGAAAACAUUCCAAGGACAGCUGUCCACACAAAGUGUGUCUAAUACACAAUGUGUCUUCAGUUGGAAAUACAAAAUAAUCUCCUUUGGUUUUUAUGAUUAUGAAGACGAUCUCACGACUCGUCAUAAGGUUUCUAGUAGUCUUCAACCUCUCACAUGCGAUCUGCAUCAUCCCGACGUCUCUCCUCACGACGUAUUUGCGAUUUUGAUCUCCAAGCUCAGGUACAUAGAGGACCAACAAUCACAAACCAGUAGACUAUAGUCGCUUAGCAGAUAAUAAUACCCAAGUGUCAGUAGAUAAUCCAAUAAUACCAUAAUACCUUGAAUCCAGAAAACCAAAAGACUGAAGUUGAUAAAACCCAAAAAGAGUCCUUGAUAAAUGAGUCGAAAAUGGCAUGUAUACUCCUCUUAUCAAGCGAGAUAAAACCUUAUCUCACAACUGAGUUUUUCUUAUGUUGCUUUAAUUUUCUUUGCUU